GCCUCUGUGGUCCAGUAGUUGAGCGUUGGACUCAUGAUCCGGAGGCCCCGGGUUCGAAUCCCGGCGGGGACA
rnacentral:tRNA from 1 species